rnacentral:tRNA from 1 species
GUGGUUCAGUGGUAGAGCACUUGCCUAGCAAGUGUGAGGCACUGAGUUCAAUUCUCAGCACCACA